AGAAGUCACUAUAGCAUUAAAACACAGCAGGGUGGGAGAAAUAAAAGGAAAACAAUAAAAACAAUGGCCCUUAAAAACCCAAGAGAAUGCCUCCUUUGGAAGUGUGUACUUUCUUAUUCAGAAAAGGUAUCACCUUAAUAAGAAUUAUAGGCAAAGAGGUUUCACUGUUCCAUGCUGUGUGGACGAAAAGAGGGAGAAAAGACUGACUUAUCAAAGGCACUGGCAGUUAUGAAAGACCUGAAGCAUACUCCAGUGAUCAGUUAGUGGAGAAUUAACUUCUGGAACAGUCUCAAAGAUUUUUCUUGAAAAAAAUGGCAAGAAAGGGAAGUGAGAUGGGUAUUUCAGCUAUCUUCUGGAGAUCAUCAAGCACAUGCCUUGUAAAAGAAGUCUUUUCAUUAUGUCAGCAAAGAAAUCUGCAAGAAAGAAAGUUACCUUUGACAGAGAUUUUAUGAAGACCUUCCAUGUCAGCAGGCACCUACCUGGAGCCAGAGUUAGAGUUAGACCCAACACCAUAGGCACACCUGAGUUGCCUGGAAAUCAGAUGAAGCUCAAAAGGCAAACUGGUCAUCUUCAGGAGCUAAUUUGACGGGAAAAGCUCUUCAAGAAACAGCUAGCCACUACAGAAGAAAACAUCUCCCAGAAAUAAAAAAUUCCACCUCUUUUAUAUACUCAAAGAUUGUCUUAGUUUCCACAUUUAUUCUAAAUAAUAUUUUUUAGUGUAAAAUUACAUUGGAACAGUCUUGUUAGCUAUAUAUAUUCUCUUUAAAUCUUG
ensembl:lncRNA